rnacentral:rRNA from 1 species
CAAGUCGAACGAUGAAGCCCAGCUUGCUGGGUGGAUUAGUGGCGAACGGGUGAGUAACACGUGAGUAACCUGCCCUUGACUCUGGGAUAAGCGCUGGAAACGGCGUCUAAUACCGGAUACGACCUGCCCCGGCAUCGGGUGCGGGUGGAAAGUUUUUCGGUCAAGGAUGGACUCGCGGCCUAUCAGGUAGUUGGUGAGGUAAUGGCUCACCAAGCCGACGACGGGUAGCCGGCCUGAGAGGGUGACCGGCCACACUGGGACUGAGACACGGCCCAGACUCCUACGGGAGGCAGCAGUGGGGAAUAUUGCACAAUGGGCGAAAGCCUGAUGCAGCAACGCCGCGUGGGGGAUGACGGCCUUCGGGUUGUAAACCUCUUUUAGUAGGGAAGAAGGGCUUCGGCUUGACGGUACCUGCAGAAAAAGCACCGGCUAACUACGUGCCAGCAGCCGCGGUAAUACGUAGGGUGCAAGCGUUGUCCGGAAUUAUUGGGCGUAAAGAGCUCGUAGGCGGUUUGUCGCGUCUGCUGUGAAAACCCGAGGCUCAACCUCGGGCCUGCAGUGGGUACGGGCAGACUAGAAUGCGGUAGGGGAGAAUGGAAUUCCUGGUGUAGCGGUGGAAUGCGCAGAUAUCAGGAGGAACACCCGAU